rnacentral:piRNA from 1 species
UGAGAUAAUUCUCAGGGUGGAC